GAAAGCGGGGCUUAGAUCUCGGAAGCUAAGCUAAGCUAAGCAGGGUCGGGCCUGGUUAGUACUUGGAUGGGAGACCGCCUGGGAAUACCUGGUGCUGUAAGCU
rfam:Takifugu rubripes genomic scaffold, scaffold_5684